rnacentral:rRNA from 1 species
UGGUCAAGUUAUUAAGGGUAUAUGGGGGAUGCCUUGGCAUUAGAAGAUGUUGGCGUGGAAGUCUGCGAUAAGCCUGGGGGAGGUGACAAACAACCUAAGAUCCCGGGAUUCCGAUGUAAACCUGGUGAACUGAAACAUCUAAGUAACCAGAGGAAGAGAAAGAAAAAUCCAUUCCUUUAGUAGCGGCGAGCGAAACAGGAAUAGCCCAAACCGAGAGGGUUUCCCUCUCGGGGUUGUAGGACCUGCAAUAUGUAGUUGAUAGCGUAGCUAAAUAAACUGGAAAGUUUAACCGUAGAGGGUGACAGUCCCGUCGGCGAAACGCGAUUCAACGCUAGCAGUGUUCCUGAGUAGGUCGGGUCACGUGAAACCCUGACUGAAUCCACGGGGACCAUCCCGUAAGGCUAAAUACUCUCUAAUGACCGAUAGUGUACUCAGUAGGGUGACUGAAAGGUGAAAAGAACCCCUGUUAGGGGAGUGAAAUAGAAUCUGAAACCAUAUACUUACAAGCGGUUGGAGCACUAUACCAUUUAUGGAAUGUGUGACAGCGUGCCUUUUGCAUAAUGAUCCGGCGAGUUACCGUCACUGGCUUGGUUAAGGCCUUCCGGGCUGAAGCCUCAGGGAAACCGAGUCUUAAUAGGGCGACCUAUGUCAGCGGUGGUAGACGCGAAACCAGGUGAACUACCCAUGAGCAGGUUGAAGCGCGAGUUAUAUCGCGUGGAGGACCGAACCCACUUAGGUUGAAAACUGAGGGGAUGACUUGUGGGGAGGAGUGAAAGUCUAAUCAAACCUGGAGAUAGCUCGUUCUCUCCGAAAUAGCUUUAGGGCUAGCCUCGAGCCACUACGUACCGGGGGUAGAGAUACUGAAUUGGAUGAGGGCCCUUCCCGGGGUACCUCACCGAACCAAACUCCGAAUACCGGUACGAUUAUCUCGGGAGUCAGUCCACG